rnacentral:rRNA from 1 species
UGAGGAAUAUUGGUCAAUGGACGAGAGUCUGAACCAGCCAAAUCGCGUGAAGGAAGACUGCCCUACGGGUUGUAAACUUCUUUUGUACAGGAAUAAAAGACAUUACGUGUAAUGUAUUGCAUGUACUGUACGAAUAAGCAUCGGCUAACUCCGUGCCAGCAGCCGCGGUAAUACGGAGGAUGCGAGCGUUAUCCGGAUUUAUUGGGUUUAAAGGGUGCGCAGGCGGGAUUUUAAGUCAGCGGUGAAAUUUCCAGGCUCAACCUGAACACUGCCGUUGAAACUGGGAUUCUUGAGUAUGGAUGAAGUAGGCGGAAUUCGUUGUGUAGCGGUGACAUGCUUAGAUAUAACGAGGAACUCCGAUUUCGUAGGCAGCUUACUAAGCCAUAACUGACGCUCAAGCACGAAAGCGUGGGGAUCAAACA